rnacentral:lncRNA from 1 species
GUGGACCCUGGGCCCCAGCAUCAGUACCACCUUAUGUGCCUGGGAAACAAAGUCGCACCAUGAACCACAGUCAACUAAGUCUUCAUGGCUCUCCAAGGACUGUGCAAUCUGAAGAACAGAUGGCAGUCUUCUGUCAGUGCUUGAAGACUUUUUCCAAGAAACAUUAAGCCUCUAUUGGGCCUCGCUUGUUAAUGCAAAAGUCCUUCUCAGGACAGAAGGUAGGAAAGUCUUUGAAGUCAUCAGAGGUUGCCAAACCAAGUGGUCACACAGACAAAACGCACUGCACAGGUGCCAGACUUCUUCCUCAGAGAUCCAUCAGAUGAACUUCCCUGCUAAAAACUUCCAUCCACUGCUCCCCAAUUUAUGUCCCCAUUCAGCUCAAAGAAGUCAGAUACAUUGAACAGUAUUAUAUUAGCCAGAGCUCUUGAGAGACAAGUGAAGCAAAAGAUAGAAGGUAUCAAGGCCAAGAAGUCCUAUGAUAUGGAGUCUGAAAACUGGAGGAUUAAAAACGGUGGCCGUGGAAUUUAGUCUUAGGCAAAGGCCUAAGAUUCAGAAGGGACCCAUUGGUCCAAGUCUUCAAAUCUGUGUGGCCCCUGAGCCAGGAGCUCUGGUAUCAGAAAGCAGAAGAUGACAUGGAGUCACAGCUCAAGUUAAUGAAUUUGCCCUUUCUCUGCCUUGUUGUUGUGUUUGGGCACUCAGUAGAUUGGAUGAUGUCCUCCUGGACUGGUGAGGGUAAUUAUCUUUACUUGGUUUACAAAUUUGAAUGAUAAUCUCUUCCAGGUUUC